ACGGAAGGCAGCAGUGGGGAAUAUUGCGCAAUGGGGGGAACCCUGACGCAGCAAUACCGCGUGAGUGAAGAAGGUUUUCGGAUCGUAAAACUCUUUUAUUGGGGAAGAAGAAUGACGGUACCCAAUGAAGAAGUCCCGGCUAACUACGUGCCAGCAGCCGCGGUAAUACGUAGGGGACAAGCGUUGUCCGGAAUGACUGGGCGUAAAGGGCACGUAGGCGGUUAAUUAAGUCUGAUGUGAAAGGUACCGGCUCAACCGGUGACAUGCAUUGGAAACUGAUCAACUUGAGUACUGGAGAGGCAAGCGGAAUUCCUAGUGUAGCGGUGAAAUGCGUAGAUAUUAGGAGGAACACCAGUGGCGAAGGCGGUCUACUGGACGAUAACUGACGCUGAGGCGCGAAAGCGUGGGGAGCAAACAGGAUUAGAUACCCUGGUA
rnacentral:rRNA from 1 species